AGUGAACGCUGGCGGUAGGCCUAACACAUGCAAGUCGAACGGCAGCACAGUAAGAGCUUGCUCUUACGGGUGGCGAGUGGCGGACGGGUGAGGAAUACAUCGGAAUCUACUUUUUCGUGGGGGAUAACGUAGGGAAACUUACGCUAAUACCGCAUACGACCUACGGGUGAAAGCAGGGGAUCUUCGGACCUUGCGCGAUUGAAUGAGCCGAUGUCGGAUUAGCUAGUUGGCGGGGUAAAGGCCCACCAAGGCGACGAUCCGUAGCUGGUCUGAGAGGAUGAACAGCCAAACUGGAAAGUAGACAAGGUCCAGACUCCUACGGGAGGCAGCAGUGGGGAAUAUUGGACAAAGGGGGCAAGCCUGAUCCAGCCAUACCGCGUGGGGGAAGAAGGCCUUCGGGUUGGAAAGCCCUUUUGUUGGGAAAGAAAAGCAGCAGGGUAAUACCCCGCUGUUCUGACGGUACCCAAAGAAUAAGCACCGGCUAACUUCGUG
rnacentral:rRNA from 1 species